rnacentral:sRNA from 2 species
CUUUUGAUUUGUUAAAACAGUUUGCGGUCUGGCAACUGCAAAUGUUCAACAAGAAAUCAAAAG